rnacentral:rRNA from 1 species
GCCUACGGACGCAGCAGUGAGGAAUGUUGGUCAAUGGGCGCAAGCCUGAACCAGCCAAGUCGCGUGAGGGAUGACGGUCCUAUGGAUUGUAAACCUCUUUUGUCGGGGAGCAAGGCCCGCCACGUGUGGCGGGAAGGAGAGUACCCGAAGAAAAAGCAUCGGCUAACUCCGUGCCAGCAGCCGCGGUAAUACGGAGGAUGCGAGCGUUAUCCGGAUUUAUUGGGUUUAAAGGGUGCGUAGGCGGUCUGUUAAGUCAGCGGUCAAAGCCCGGGGCUCAACCCCGGCCCGCCGUUGAAACU